GAUGAACGCUGGCGGCGUGCCUAAUACAUGCAAGUCGAGCGAACAGACGAGGAGCUUGCUCCUCUGACGUUAGCGGCGGACGGGUGAGUAACACGUGGAUAACCUACCUAUAAGACUGGGAUAACUUUGGGAAACCGGAGCUAAUACCGGAUAAUAUAUUGAACCGCAUGGUUCAAUAGUGAAAGACGGUUUUGCUGUCACUUAUAGAUGGAUCCGCGCCGCAUUAGCUAGUUGGUAAGGUAACGGCUUACCAAGGCGACGAUGCGUAGCCGACCUGAGAGGGUGAUCGGCCACACUGGAACUGAGACACGGUCCAGACUCCUACGGGAGGCAGAAGUAGGGAAUCUUCCGCAAUGGGCGAAAGCCUGACGGAGCAACGCCGCGUGAGUGAUGAAGGUCUUCGGAUCGUAAAACUCUGUUAUUAGGGAAGAACAAAUGUGUAAGUAACUAUGCACGUCUUGACGGUACCUAAUCAGAAAGCCACGGCUAACUACGUG
rnacentral:rRNA from 1 species